UACCAAACCCUAAACUUUACUCUUUUCUCCUUUCUUCUCUACCAAACCCUAAACUUUACUCUUUUCUCCUUUCUUCUCUACCAAACCCUACGAAAGAAGGUUUUCUCUCAACAUUUCUUCCCUUUCUUCCUUUCUCAAUCUCAUCACUUUUUAAUCUCCCCUUGGCUUCCAGUCAAAACCUUCAUAUUCCCCACCUUCACCAUCGCCGCCGUGAAAUCCGCCUUCCAGAGGCUCCGACUACUCCGAUAAUGAUAUGAAAAUUAGGGAUGAUAAGGAAAUUGAGGCCACCGUUGUUGAUGGAAACGGUACUGAAACAGGCCAUAUAAUUGUAACAACCAUUGGUGGAAAGAACGGCCAACCAAAGCAGACUAUCAGUUACAUGGCCGAGCGAGCUGUAGGACACGGUUCUUUUGGAGUUGUAUUUCAGGCAAAAUGCUUGGAAACUGGUGAAACAGUUGCAAUUAAAAAGGUUCUUCAGGACAAGAGUAGAAGAAUCUUUCCAUAAUGAUGGUGUGUAGGGGCAUGGGAACAGCAGCAAACUCAGUAGUUUCCCACCGUUAAAAAAAACAGUUUUGUUUGCUUUAUGGCUCUAUCUCUAACACUGACUGCAAUGGGGCAUAUACCAAAGCAAUGCGUGGAGAGUGGCCAAAGUGUACCUUUUGCUGCUGGUGCCGGAGAUACCAACAUUUGUGGUGGUAUUGUUCAGUUGUAUUGGGAAAGGAUUCUGGGACGAAGCUUAGAUUUAAAUGGCCAAGUUCGUCAAAUUGCCCUCAAGGCCAUAGUAAGCUUGUGGGUUGGUGCUGUGAUUAGUAGCUGGUGCAAUUUCAUAACUGUCUUGUAUGUUGGUCAUUUUCUACUAGAGGAGGAUGAUAAGUUUCUAGAUAAGGUUUGAGCUACAGUUCAGGAAGAGGAAUGUCAAGCCCUUGCUGCAUUUGGUGCCUGUUUCCAAUAUUAAUAAUUGUUUGAAGAAGCAUUUUCGAGACCUUUAAAAUGUCGUGAUUUUUGAAUUUAUAUAAUUAUGUUUGGUUGCAGUUAAUUUUACAAGCGUGUUUUCAUUGUUGGUGGAAUCAGACUUGAAUAAUAUGAGAUUUAUGUGCUUUAAGAUA